CCUGACUGCUAUCGGAUURAUACUAAGCCAUGCGAGUCAUUGUAGCAAUACAAGGCAUACGGCUCAGUAACGCGUAGUCAACCUAACCUAUGGACGGGAAUAACCUCGGGAAACUGAGAAUAAUGCCCGAUAGAACACUAUACCUGGAAUGGUUUGUGUUCCAAAUGAUUUAUCGCCAUAGGAUGGGACUGCGGCCUAUCAGUUUGUUGGUGAGGUAAUGGCCCACCAAGACUAUUACAGGUACGGGCUCUGAGAGGAGUAGCCCGGAGAUGGGUACUGAGACACGGACCCAGGCCCUAUGGGGCGCAGCAGGCGAGAAAACUUUGCAAUGUGCGAAAGCACGACAAGGUUAAUCCGAGUGAUUUGUGCUAAACGAAUCUUUUGUUAGUCCUAGAAACACUAACGAAUAAGGGGUGGGCAAGUUCUGGUGUCAGCCGCCGCGGUAAAACCAGCACCUUAAGUGGUCAGGAUGAUUAUUGGGCCUAAAGCAUCCGUAGCCGGCUCUGUAAGUUUUCGGUUAAAUCUGUACGCUUAACGUACAGGCUGCCGGGAAUACUGCAGAGCUAGGGAGUGGGAGAGGUAGACGGUACUCGGUAGGAAGUGGUAAAAUGCUUUGAUCUAUCGAUGACCACCUGUGGCGAAGGCGGUCUACCAGAACACGUCCGACGGUGAGGGAUGAAAGCUGGGGGAGCAAACCGGAUUAGAUACCCGGGUAGUCCCAGCUGUAAACUAUGCAAACUCAGUGAUGCAUUGGCUUGUGGCCAAUGCAGUGCUGCAGGGAAGCCGUUAAGUUUGCCGCCUGGGAAGUACGUACGCAAGUAUGAAACUUAAAGGAAUUGGCGGGGGAGCACCACAAGGGGUGAAGCCUGCGGUUC
rnacentral:rRNA from 1 species